GAGGGUGUAGCUUAAUGGUAGAGUGCGUGCCUAGCAUGCGCGAGGUCCUGGCUUCAAUCCUCGGUACCUCCU
rnacentral:tRNA from 1 species